AGAUGGCGACCGGCGCACGGGUGAGUAACACGUAUCCAACCUGCCUCAUACUCGGGGAUAGCCUUUCGAAAGAAAGAUUAAUAUCCGAUAGCAUAUAUUUCCCGCAUGGGUUUUACAUUAAAGAAAUUCGGUAUGAGAUGGGGAUGCGUUCCAUUAGUUUGUUGGGGGGGUAACGGCCCACCAAGACUACGAUGGAUAGGGGUUCUGAGAGGAAGGUCCCCCACAUUGGAACUGAGACACGGUCCAA
rnacentral:rRNA from 1 species